GGCAGUUCUCCAGUGACGAACCCUGGAAUUGGGCUCCCUCCUCUCUGGUUCCAGGUGUGUCACCCGAGAACUGCA
rfam:Myotis lucifugus cont2.1739, whole genome shotgun sequence.